rnacentral:rRNA from 1 species
CUGAGGCGGGCGGGGCCCUACCAUGCAAGUCGAACGGUAGCACAGAGAGCUUGCUCUCGGGUGACGAGUGGCGGACGGGUGAGUAAUGUCUGGGAAACUGCCUGAUGGAGGGGGAUAACUACUGGAAACGGUAGCUAAUACCGCAUAACGUCGCAAGACCAAAGAGGGGGACCUUCGGGCCUCUUGCCAUCAGAUGUGCCCAGAUGGGAUUAGCUAGUAGGUGGGGUAACGGCUCACCUAGGCGACGAUCCCUAGCUGGUCUGAGAGGAUGACCAGCCACACUGGAACUGAGACACGGUCCAGACUCCUACGGGAGGCAGCAGUGGGGAAUAUUGCACAAUGGGCGCAAGCCUGAUGCAGCCAUGCCGCGUGUAUGAAGAAGGCCUUCGGGUUGUAAAGUACUUUCAGCGGGGAGGAAGGUGUUGUGGUUAAUAACCGCAGCAAUUGACGUUACCCGCAGAAGAAGCACCGGCUAACUCCGUGCCAGCAGCCGCGGUAAUACGGAGGGUGCAAGCGUUAAUCGGAAUUACUGGGCGUAAAGCGCACGCAGGCGGUCUGUCAAGUCGGAUGUGAAAUCCCCCGGGCUCAACCUGGGAACUGCAUUCGAAACUGGCAGGCUAGAGUCUUGUAGAGGGGGGUAGAAUUCCAGGUGUAGCGGUGAAAUGCGUAGAGAUCUGGAGGAAUACCGGUGGCGAAGGCGGCCCCCCUGGACAAAGACUGACGCUCAGGUGCGAAAGCGUGGGGAGCAAACAGGAUUAGAUACCCUGGUAGUCCACGCCGUAAACGAUGUCGAUUUGGAGGUUGUGCCCUUGAGGCGUGGCUUCCGGAGCUAACGCGUUAAAUCGACCGCCUGGGGAGUACGGCCGCAAGGUUAAAAACUCAAAUGAAUUGACGGGGGGCCCGCACAAGCGGUGGAGCAUGUGGUUUUAAUUCGAUGCAACGCGAAGAACCUUACCUGGUCUUGACAUCCACAGAACUUUCCAGAGAUGGAUUGGUGCCUUCGGGAACUGUGAGACAGGUGCUGCAUGGCUGUCGUCAGCUCGUGUUGUGAAAUGUUGGGUUAAGUCCCGCAACGAGCGCAACCCUUAUCCUUUGUUGCCAGCGGUUAGGCCGGGAACUCAAAGGAGACUGCCAGUGAUAAACUGGAGGAAGGUGGGGAUGACGUCAAGUCAUCAUGGCCCUUACGACCAGGGCUACACACGUGCUACAAUGGCGCAUACAAAGAGAAGCGACCUCGCGAGAGCAAGCGGACCUCAUAAAGUGCGUCGUAGUCCGGAUUGGAGUCUGCAACUCGACUCCAUGAAGUCGGAAUCGCUAGUAAUCGUAGAUCAGAAUGCUACGGUGAAUACGUUCCCGGGCCUUGUACACACCGCCCGUCACACCAUGGGAGUGGGUUGCAAAAGAAGUAGGUAGCUUAACCUUCGGGAGGGCGCUUACCACUUUGUGAUUCAUGACUGGGGGAAGUCGAACAAGGAACCCAGGG